GACGAACGCUGGCGGCGUGGAUUAGGCAUGCAAGUCGAACGGUAUCAUCCUUUCGGGGGUGAGAGAGUGGCGAACUGGUGAGUAACACGUAGGUUAUCUACCCUCAAGACGGGGACAACCCAGGGAAACUUGGGCUAAUACCGGAUGUGAGCAACUUUUAGUUGUUUGAAAGGUGGCGUAAGCUGUCGCUUGGGGAUGAGCCUGCGUCCUAUUAGUUAGUUGGUGAGGUAACGGCUCACCUAGGCAAUGAUAGGUAGGCGGCCUUAACGGGUGGUCGCCCACACUGGGAUUGAGAUACGGCCCAGACUCCUACGGGAGGCAGCAGUCGAGAAUAGUCUACAAUGGUCGGAAGACUGAUAGUGCGACGCCGCGUGAACGAUGAAUCCCUUCGGGGUGUAAAAGUUCUUUUAAUGUGAGCAGUGCUUCUUAUAUUAACAGUAUGGGGAAGAGAUAUUAGCAUAUGAAUAAGCAAACGGCUAAACUCCGUGCCAGCAGCCGCGGUAAAA
rnacentral:rRNA from 1 species